rnacentral:rRNA from 1 species
UAUCUCUGUAGAGUCUGCAUAUCAAUAAGCGGAGGAAAAGAAACUAACAAGGAUUCCCCUAGUAACGGCGAGUGAAGCGGGAAGAGCUCAAAUUUGAAAUCUUAAAGGGUUUCCCUUUACGAAUUGUAGUUUAAAGAAGUGUUUUCUGUUGGAGUUUCGGUAAAAGUUCUUUGGAAUAGGACAUCAUAGAGGGUGAGAAUCCCGCUAUUUGACCGUUACUUUCCAGCUGUGUGAUACACUUUCAAAGAGUCGGAUUGUUUGGGAAUGCAGUCCAAAAUGGGUGGUAAAUUUCAUCUAAAGCUAAAUAUUGGCGAGAGACCGAUAGCGAACAAGUACCGUGAGGGAAAGAUGAAAAGAACUUUGAAAAGAGAGUUAAACAGUACGUGAAAUUGUCAAAAGGGAAGCGUUUGACACCAGUGUUGUUUUCUCGAAAAUCAAUUAAAAAUGGCUUGAUUUUGUGUUGUAUUGACCUUAAAAGCUUUCUGCACUUUUUUCAUGUCUUUUUUAAUGCACUUUUCGUUUAACAAGUCAACAUCAGUUUCUUUUGUUGUAAAAAGGUCAUUGGAAGGUGGCUUUCUUUUCGGAGAAAGUGUUUAUAGCCUUUGACUCCUGCAAUCGGAGAGACUGAGGUCUGCAGCGUAGAUCCUUCUUGGAUUAGAUUCAUUUGUGCUAAGUUAUAGCUUUUUAUAGACAACUUGUUGACUAUAUUUAGUCUUGUAGCUUACUCGCUUAUGCAAUUUUACCUACGCUUAGGAUGUUGAACGCGCACAGAGUCUC